rnacentral:rRNA from 1 species
UAAGGAAUAUUGGUCAAUGGACGCAAGUCUGAACCAGCCAUGCCGCGUGAAGGAUGAAGGUCCUCUGGAUUGUAAACUUCUUUUAUCUGGGACGAAAACGGGAUUUUUAUCUCAAUUGACGGUACCAGAGGAAUAAGCACCGGCUAACUCCGUGCCAGCAGCCGCGGUAAUACGGCGGGUGCGAGCGUUAUCCGGAUUUACUGGGUUUAAAGGGUGCGUAGGUGGGCUUAUAAG